AGAGUUUGAUCCUGGCUCAGGAUGAACGCUGGCGGCGUGCCUAAUACAUGCAAGUCGAGCGAACAGACGAGGAGCUUGCUCCUCUGACGUUAGCGGCGGACGGGUGAGUAACACGUGGAUAACCUACCUAUAAGACUGGGAUAACUUCGGGAAACCGGAGCUAAUACCGGAUAAUAUAUUGAACCGCAUGGUUCAAUAGUGAAAGACGGUUUUGCUGUCACUUAUAGAUGGAUCCGCGCCGCAUUAGCUAGUUGGUAAGGUAGCGGCUUACCAAGGCAACGAUGCGUAGCCGACCUGAGAGGGUGAUCGGCCACACUGGAACUGAGACACGGUCCAGACUCCUACGGGAGGCAGCAGUAGGGAAUCUUCCGCAAUGGGCGAAAGCUUGACGGAGCAACGCCGCGUGAGUGAUGAAGGUCUUCGGAUCGUAAAACUCUGUUAUUAGGGAAGAACAAAUGUGUAAGUAACUAUGCACGUCUUGACGGUACCUAAUCAGAAAGCCACGGCUAACUACGUGCCAGCAGCCGCGGUAAUACGUAGGUGGCAAGCGUUAUCCGGAAUUAUUGGGCGUAAAGCGCGCGUAGGCGGUUUUUUAAGUCUGAUGUGAAAGCCCACGGCUCAACCGUGGAGGGUCAUUGGAAACUGGAAAACUUGAGUGCAGAAGAGGAAAGUGGAAUUCCAUGUGUAGCGGUGAAAUGCGCAGAGAUAUGGAGGAACACCAGUGGCGAAGGCGACUUUCUGGUCUGUAACUGACGCUGAUGUGCGAAAGCGUGGGGAUCAAACCAGGAUUAGAUACCCUGGUAGUCCACGCCGUAAACG
rnacentral:rRNA from 1 species